GCCGCAUUGCUUCCAGAUGGCAGAUACAUAGCUUAUAAAGAGCAUGGUAUUCCACCUGAUGAAGCUAGGUUUACAAUAAUAUUUCCACACCCAUUUCUCUCCUCUCGACUCGCAGGUGUACCGGGACUUAAGUCUUCAUUACUGGAGGAGUUUGGCAUUCGAUUAAUAACAUAUGAUCUGCCUGGUUUUGGUGAGAGUGAUUCUCAUCCGCAUAGAAACCUUGAAUCGGCAGCAUGGGAUAUUUCUCUUUAGCAAAUGCCUUAGGAGUCAAUGACAAGUUCUGGGUGUUGGGAUAUUCCAGUGGAAGUAUGCAUGCGUGGGCAUCACUGAGGUACAUUCCUGGCAGAGUUGCAGGAGCUGCCAUGUUUGCCCCAUGGUCAAUCCAUAUGACCCUCUAAUGACCAGGGAGGAGAGAUAUAGAACCUGGAACCAGUGGACACGCAGAAGAAAAUUCCUUUCUUUUAGCAAGAAGAUUACCAAGAUUUCUUUCUUUUUUUUAUCAUCGGAGCUUUUUGUCUGGAAGGCAUGGUCAGAUUGAUAAGUGGCUGUCAUUAUCACUUGAAAAUAGGGACAGAGCAUUGAUAGAAGAUCCGUUAUAUGAGGAGUUCUGGCAAAGGGAUGUCAAGAAUCAAUUAGGCAGGGGCAUGUGAAACCUUUUGUUGAAGAAGCUGCAUUACAGGUGUCAGACUGGGGUUUUAGCUUGGGAGAUCUCAAGUUACAGAAGAAACGUCGAGGUAAAGGUGUUUUGAAUUGGCUCAAAUGGCUGAUUUCUCUACUCAGUGAAAAGAGCCAGAAUAUACAGGCUAUCUUGGGCCAAUACAUAUAUGGCAGGUUUGUCAUGCAUACCUUGAAUAUGUUAUGUCCUCAUGGCCGUAAUAAGUUUACAGAAAUGCAUUCAAUGUUCAUUUAUUCGGGUCGUUCUGUUGGCAAUAUCUAGUGAUUGCAUUCUCUAUUGUUGCUUUAUAUUUACUCGAUUUUUAUGCCUGGGUUAAUAGUUAAAUUUUAAAGGAGACUUUGUCAUCCUCUU